CUCCCUGGACUCUACCAGCCAGGCACCCCUAAAAAUAAUUGAAGACAAGAAAAAUCAAAGGUUGCCCAAGAAAGGAAAUGUAACCAUAGUAUGCUGCUUGGUUGUGGAGGGGGGAGUCAGCUUCCGUGUCAUAAGGACAAACAGUCCCUUGGAGUGGCCCAUAUGGAAAGAAACCAAUUUGUCAGCACCAGUUUGCCGGCCUUGUGUGUGCGUGAGCCACCUUGGAAGUAGAUUCUCCAGCCCCAGGUCACAUCCACAGGUUCCACGGUAUAGGCUUACCUUUUGGCCGGUGACUAUUCAGUCCACUACAGCAGACAAGAAUGAUUCCAACAUUUUUUGGACCGAGCAACUGAAAGAAUGAAGCUUUCAUGAACCAAGACAGGAAAGGACUAUGAGAAGAGCAUGUUGUCGAAGAUGUUGAUCUGAGUUCUGAGUUGAUCUUAAUGUGCUCAGAUGGGGCAGGUGCUUGGUAGGGUGUCCCACCCUCCUAAGCUCAGAGAGUCUUGAGCUGUUGUCACCAGCUGGGCCCCAAAGCCUGACCUUUACUGCCUACCUGUUUAUUGUACUCACUGACCUUUCUCUCACCUUUUUCCUUAAGCUCUUCUUUCCAGCCUAUCUCUUAACUCAGGCAAAAGACCUGAGGGACAUAACAUCCCAGAUGGAAACAGAAAUACCUCUCAAGCAAUAACAACUGCCUAGACCACCCAGACCAGUUUGAACUUAAGCCCCCACUCAUGCCUGUGCAGAUGGACCAUGGAGAGAUCCAUGGAGUGACUGACAGUUACAAUUACCUCAUUAUAAUAGUAAAAUCUCUGCCCAAGGAGGAGCAUAAGCCUCAUAUACAUAACAUACGAUGUAUGUAUAGGCAUGUUUCCUUAAGGUGCCUGCGCCUCCUUUUGCCCCCCUCUACAUAGGAUGACAAGGCUUCCAUCUAAAUAUUCAUCCUAACCCUAAGUAAAAGGAACCUAUUCACCCUCGCUCAGGAAGUCAUGACUUCGGAAGUUGUUCCUCAGCAAUCUCCUUAUUUGCUGCAAAUAAAAGUUUACUUUGUGUGACAGCUCCA